GGGGGGGCAACCCCCCGAGUAGAGUGGCGAACGGGUGAGUAAUACAUCGGAACGUACCCAGUAGCGGGGGAUAACCUCUCGAAAGAGAGGCUAAUACCGCAUACGACCUAUGGGUGAAAGAGGGGGUCGCAAGACCUCUCACUAUUGGAGCGGCCGAUGUCGGAUUAGCUAGUUGGCGGGGUAACGGCCCACCAAGGCGACGAUCCGUAGCUGGUCUGAGAGGACGACCAGCCACACUGGAACUGAGACACGGUCCAGACUCCUACGGGAGGCAGCAGUGGGGAAUUUUGGACAAUGGGCGCAAGCCUGAUCCAGCCAUGCCGCGUGGGUGAAGAAGGCCUUCGGGUUGUAAAGCCCUUUCGGCUGGGACGAAAAGGUCCGUGCUAAUACCACGGAUCCAUGACGGUACCAGCAGAAGAAGCACCGGCUAACUACGUGCCAGCAGCCGCGGUAAUACGUAGGGUGCAGGCGUUAAUCGGAAUUACUGGGCGUAAAGCGUGCGCAGGCGGUCUUUUAAGUCAGAUGUGAAAUCCCCGGGCUUAACCUAGGAACUGCGUUUGAAACUGGAAGGCUUGAGUGUGGCAGAGGGGGGUGGAAUUCCACGUGUAGCGGUGAAAUGCGUAGAGAUGUGGAGGAACACCGAUGGCGAAGGCAGCCCCCUGGGCUAACACUGACGCUCAUGCACGAAAGCGUGGGGAGCAAACAGGAUUAGAUACCCUGGUAGUCCACGCCCUAAACUAUGUCAACUGGUUGUCGGGGAAGCAAUUCCUUGGUAACGAAGCUAACGCGUGAAGUUGACC
rnacentral:rRNA from 1 species